UCUCCGUAGGUGAACCUGCGGAGGGAUCAUUACAGAGUUCAUGCCCUACCGGGUAGAUCUCCCACCCUAUGUUAUUAUUACUUUGUUGCUUUGGCGGGCCGUUAGGCUCCGGCCCGACUACCGGCCCCGGCUGGUAAGCGCCCGCCCGAGGAACCAAAACCCUGAAUAUUAGUGUCGUCUGAGUACUAUAUAAUAGUUAAAACUUUUAACAACGGAUCUCUUGGUUCUG
rnacentral:misc_RNA from 1 species